ensembl:lncRNA
AAAGUUCUGGGAUUAUAGGCACAAACCACCGCCCCCGAUAUUUGUUCUGAUAUACUCAUCUUUUUCUUCCAAUCUCCAAGGAGUCCCCAGAUCUGGACUAUGAAAUCAAAUAACUGAGUGAACCACAACAGAUUAUUCAAUAAGAUGUUCUGAGCAACCGUUCUUAACUUUAGCUGCACAUUGAAAUCAACUGGGGAGCUUAAAAAAUUAAUAACUGGGUCUCAUCCCCAGAGAUUCUGAUUUACUGGUAUAGGAUGCAGGAUAGGCAGUGGGGAUUUCUAAAAGCUAAUAUAGCAGUAGACAAAGUUGAGAAUCCACACUCUAACGUAAUCAGUACAACGAACACAAUCAGUUUCAAUCAAUGAAACUGAAACAGUGUCAUAAUACUAUUAUAAGACAGCAGAGGGCAGAGUUGGCUUACAUUUAUAUAGAGAUUAAACCAUUUUACAUAGGAAAUAGCAAGUAGUUAAUAAUGUAAUUUUAACUUUGUACUUUGUGGUUGUCUUUUGCCGUAAAGUUUUCCUUCAUUGUUAAAGCAAAAUUACUUUUUGUACAUUGGAAUUUACUGGGAAGCCCCUGAGGGGUGGCUGAUCGAUAAGGUCAUGUAAAAUUUAUUGUCCAAACCAUUACAUUUCUGAGACCGCAAGAGAGUCCUAUUAAUGAUUAUGCCAGGACAACAGGUGCAAGCCUGUUUUGGGCAAACUGGAAUGAACAUAUGGUCACCAUGUCUUAUGUGGGAUCCAGGAGAUGAGCUAGAAUCUGUAACAUAGCUUUAUUCAUUAAAGCAACCAGUAGACUAUGUACUUAUGUUGUGUACUUAUGCUUAUUAAAAUCUUCAGCAUUAUUUUUGCAUAUGCCCCAUCUAUCAUUUUUCAGUAUUGUACUAGGGCUUAUGGGCAAUAGAAGAGAACUUUUUAAAGGAUCAAGCAUCAUACGAUCUAGUUGGAAAGAGAAGACUGAUACAAAACUUUGUUCUGCAGGAAAGCCUUCGCCAUGUGCCAGUGCCAUUACCUUGGACUUCCCAGCCUCCAGAACCAUGAGCCAAAUAAAUUCUGUUUAUUAUAAAUUACCCAGUCCAUGGUAUUCUGUUAUAGCAGCGCAAAAUAAACUAAAGAUUGUUUCUUUCCACAGCCUCAGGUUCCAUCCAGGCAGUGUGAUGGCUUGACAGGUCUUCCCAUUGCUCCUGGGAUGGACUGGUAAGGGGCUGAGCAUGGGUCAGGCAACUCCUCUCCCACACUGGCAAUGGGAUCCCUGAAUGAGCAAAACAGAUCAGCUGUGCCAGUUUUGCAUAAAAGGAACAGUUUUUUUUAAACCUUCAUGGCAUAGUUACUUCAUUAUCUGAGUUGUUGAUAAGAAUAUUAUUCAGACCUUGUUUUCCUUUAGUUCACUUCUGUUUUGUUCUUGCCCUCACCAUCCUCUCUAUCAAAGCUUGUUCACAGGUAAGGAUCUCAUAUCUGCUAUUUACAUUUUAGUAUAUUUCUUUAUAACUUUGUUAUUUAUUGUAAAAUAUUCUAUGCUUACAAAACACCCAAGCCUCAUGGAAAAAGAAGAAGGAAGAAUUACUCUAAAUCCCACCAUCUAGAAAUCACUUAGAUAUAAAAUGUUUUAUUUCUUAAUCAAAUAGAAAUUAUUUAGAGCCUACUUAAAAAAAU